UGCUUGCCCAAUAGUUACCACUGAUGAGCUUCCUUCUUCUCCUCAGGGUCGAACUCAGGUAUGGAAGUAUUUCCUUUCUAGUUUCUUCUUAUAUCCUGCUUUAUCAACAAUUGCUACAAUCCCUGGAUGUCUCUUAGGGCGUUGGUGAAGUUUCGGGCACAACUUUUUCUUCCCCUGUUGGUGAUAGUGGUUCUCCUCCUCAAAUAGGAGUAGAUAUUCUUCCUUUUAAAGCCCCAGAGCUUAGUCAAGCAUAUUUCUUCUUCCCAAAACUUCUCUUUACUUCAAACUACAUUUCUUGCCUUAAUUUGGUCUUCUCUGUUUCUUACAGCAGGCCUUGAGAGAAGCUUCGGGCAAAUCUCCUCCGCGUUUGGUGCGUAAA
rnacentral:lncRNA from 1 species